UACGAAGGGUGCAAGCGUUACUCGGAAUUACUGGGCGUAAAGCGUGCGUAGGCGGUUUGUUAAGUCCGUUGUGAAAGCCCUGGGCUCAACCUGGGAAUUGCAGUGGAUACUGGCGAGCUAGAGUGCGGUAGAGGAUGGUGGAAUUCCCGGUGUAGCGGUGAAAUGCGUAGAGAUCGGAAGGAACACCCGUGGCGAAGGCGGCCAUCUGGACCAGCACUGACGCUCAGGCACGAAAGCGUGGGGAGCAAACAGG
rnacentral:rRNA from 1 species